UAAAGUGGAAGCAUAGAGCAUUGGAGUAAUCGAGGAAGGAGAAAAAGAAAGAAUAGAAAGGGGGUAGGGUUGUGAAGAGGAGAAGAAGGAGACCCAAAAUGUUGCUUUUAAGUGUCAUUUUUCUCAAAAUCUCCAUUCAAAUUCCUUAAAGCUGCACUCAAUCCAAGGUACUCAAGUAUAGCUGUGGAAGUUUGCUUCUUCAUCGAGUCCUGUUGGUGUGUCGCUCUGAUACGUAGCACUCGGGGGUCGUUUAUAUCGUUAUAUCUAUGUUGUCGAUGUUUUUAGUCGUUCUUAUUAUAACCGUUGAAUCCAAGUUGAAUAAUAUGAAAUACUUAUUAUACUUCCAAGCUGUUUGAGUUGAGAUAAAGCUGAUAGUUGAACGUUAUUCGAAUGCUAUGUAUCAUUGUUAAAUUACAUACAAGUUGAAGUUUUAAGUUGAUA